AUUGAACGCUGGCGGCAGGCCUAACACAUGCAAGUCGAGCGGUAACACAAGGGAGCUUGCUCCUGAGGUGACGAGCGGCGGACGGGUGAGUAAUGCCUAGGUAUCUGCCCAGUCGAGGGGGAUAACAGUUGGAAACGACUGCUAAUACCGCAUACGCCCUACGGGGGAAAGGAGGGGACCUUCGGGCCUUCCGCGAUUGGAUGAACCUAGGUGGGAUUAGCUAGUUGGUGAGGUAAUGGCUCACCAAGGCGACGAUCCCUAGCUGGUCUGAGAGGAUGAUCAGCCACACUGGAACUGAGACACGGUCCAGACUCCUACGGGAGGCAGCAGUGGGGAAUAUUGCACAAUGGGCGAAAGCCUGAUGCAGCCAUGCCGCGUGUGUGAAGAAGGCCUUCGGGUUGUAAAGCACUUUCAGCGAGGAGGAAAGGUUAGGUCUUAAUACGGCCUAGCUGUGACGUUACUCGCAGAAGAAGCACCGGCUAACUUCGUC
rnacentral:rRNA from 1 species